rnacentral:rRNA from 1 species
AUUGAACGCUGGCGGCAUGCCUUACACAUGCAAGUCGAACGGUAACGCGGGGCAACCUGGCGACGAGUGGCGAACGGGUGAGUAACGCAUCGGAACGUGCCCAGUAGUGGGGGAUAGCCCGGCGAAAGCCGGAUUAAUACCGCAUAAGACCUACGGGUGAAAGAGGGGGAUCGCAAGACCUCUCGCUAUUGGAGCGGCCGAUGUCAGAUUAGGUAGUUGGUGGGGUAAAAGCCUACAAAGCCUACGAUCUGUAGCUGGUCUGAGAGGACGACCAGCCACACUGGGACUUAGACACGGCCCAGACUCCUACGGGAGGCAGCAGUGGGGAAUUUUGGACAAUGGGCGCGAGCCUGAUCCAGCCAUGCCGCGUGCGGGAAGAAGGCCUUCGGGUUGUAAACCGCUUUUGUCAGGGAAGAAACGCUCUGGACUAAUACUCUGGGGUAAUGACGGUACCUGAAGAAUAAGCACCGGCUAACUACGUGCCAGCAGCCGCUGUAACAC